rnacentral:rRNA from 1 species
AGAAUCAACGCUGGCGGCGUGCCUAACACAUGCAAGUCGAACGAGAAAGUGGAGCAAUCCAUGAGUAAAGUGGCGCACGGGUGAGUAACACGUGACUAACCUACCCUUGAGUGGGGGAUAACCUAGAGAAAUCUGGGCUAAUACCGCAUAAUACCUUCGGGUCAAAGGAGCAAUUCGGCUUAAGGAGGGGGUCGCGGCCGAUUAGUUAGUUGGCGGGGUAAUGGCCCACCAAGACUGUGAUCGGUA